GCCCGGGUGGUGAAAUGGUAGACACAAGGGACUUAAAAUCCCUCGAUCGCAAGAUCGUGCGAGUUCGAGUCUCGCCUCGGGCA
rnacentral:tRNA from 1 species